UACAGAGGGUGCUAGCGUUGUUCGGAAUCAUUGGGCGUAAAGGGCGUGUAGGCGGUUUGUUAAGUCAUGUGUGAAAUCCCUCGGCUCAACCGGGGAACGACGCAUGAAACUGGCAAGCUAGAGUACCAAAGAGGGGGGUGGAAUUCCCGGUGUAGCGGUGAAAUGCGUAGAUAUCGGAAGGAACACCGGUGGCGAAGGCGGCACGCUGGGCCCGCCCUGACGCUGAGGCGCGAAAGCCAGGGGAGCGAACGGG
rnacentral:rRNA from 1 species